rnacentral:rRNA from 1 species
UCGAGCGGUAGCACAGAGAGCUUGCUCUCGGGUGACGAGCGGCGGACGGGUGAGUAAUGUCUGGGAAACUGCCUGAUGGAGGGGGAUAACUACUGGAAACGGUAGCUAAUACCGCAUAACGUCGCAAGACCAAAGUGGGGGACCUUCGGGCCUCAUGCCAUCAGAUGUGCCCAGAUGGGAUUAGCUAGUAGGUGGGGUAACGGCUCACCUAGGCGACGAUCCCUAGCUGGUCUGAGAGGAUGACCAGCCACACUGGAACUGAGACACGGUCCAGACUCCUACGGGAGGCAGCAGUGGGGAAUAUUGCACAAUGGGCGCAAGCCUGAUGCAGCCAUGCCGCGUGUGUGAAGAAGGCCUUCGGGUUGUAAAGCACUUUCAGCGGGGAGGAAGGCGUUAAGGUUAAUAACCUUGUCGAUUGACGUUACCCGCAGAAGAAGCACCGGCUAACUCCGUGCCAGCAGCCGCGGUAAUACGGAGGGUGCAAGCGUUAAUCGGAAUUACUGGGCGUAAAGCGCACGCAGGCGGUCUGUCAAGUCGGAUGUGAAAUCCCCGGGCUCAACCUGGGAACUGCAUUCGAAACUGGCAGGCUAGAGUCUUGUAGAGGGGGGUAGAAUUCCAGGUGUAGCGGUGAAAUGCGUAGAGAUCUGGAGGAAUACCGGUGGCGAAGGCGGCCCCCUGGACAAAGACUGACGCUCAGGUGCGAAAGCGUGGGGAGCAAACAGGAUUAGAUACCCUGGUAGUCCACGCCGUAAACGAUGUCGAUUUGGAGGUUGUGCCCUUGAGGCGUGGCUUCCGGAGCUAACGCGUUAAAUCGACCGCCUGGGGAGUACGGCCGCAAGGUUAAAACUCAAAUGAAUUGACGGGGGCCCGCACAAGCGGUGGAGCAUGUGGUUUAAUUCGAUGCAACGCGAAGAACCUUACCUGGUCUUGACAUCCACAGAACUUUCCAGAGAUGGAUUGGUGCCUUCGGGAACUGUGAGACAGGUGCUGCAUGGCUGUCGUCAGCUCGUGUUGUGAAAUGUUGGGUUAAGUCCCGCAACGAGCGCAACCCUUAUCCUUUGUUGCCAGCGGUUAGGCCGGGAACUCAAAGGAGACUGCCAGUGAUAAACUGGAGGAAGGUGGGGAUGACGUCAAGUCAUCAUGGCCCUUACGACCAGGGCUACACACGUGCUACAAUGGCAUAUACAAAGAGAAGCGACCUCGCGAGAGCAAGCGGACCUCAUAAAGUAUGUCGUAGUCCGGAUUGGAGUCUGCAACUCGACUCCAUGAAGUCGGAAUCGCUAGUAAUCGUAGAUCAGAAUGCUACGGUGAAUACGUUCCCGGGCCUUGUACACACCGCCCGUCACACCAUGGGAGUGGGUUGCAAAAGAAGUAGGUAGCUUAACCUUCGGGAGGGCGCUUACCACUUUGUGAUUCAUGACUGGGG